rnacentral:rRNA from 1 species
ACUCAAAGGAAUAGACGGGGACCCGCACAAGCAGCGGAGCGUGUGGUUUAAUUCGACGCAACGCGCAGAACCUCACCCAGAUUUGACAUGGAGCUGCAAGCCGGUGAAAGCCGGUCGCCUUCGAGGGUGCUCCACCGGUGCUGCAUGGCUGUCGUCAGUUCGUGUCGUGAGAUGUUGGGUUAAGUCCCGCAACGAGCGCAACCCUCGUCACCAGUUACUCGUGUCUGGUGAGACUGCCCUUCGGGGAGGAAGGUGGGGAUGACGUCAAGUCCGCAUGGCCCUUACGUCUGGGGCAACACACACGCUACAAUGGCGCCGCUAAUGCGUCGCGAGUGGGCAACCACGAGCAAAUCGGCAAACGGCGUCCCAGUGCAGAUCGGGGGCUGAAACUCGCCCCCGUGAAGGCGGAGUUGCUAGUAACCGCGUAUCAGCAUGGCGCGGUGAAUACGUACCCGGGUCUUGUACACACCGCCCGU